CACUCCCCCAAAACCCUCGCUAAUUCUGUAUCUCCAUGCCCACGAAUCUGGCAACCUUGCGAGUAUGACGGCGGCUGGAUGUCGUUUGGGGAUAAAUGUGAGGGUGGAACUUCUGGAGGCGGCAAAAUAUUUUUCUGGUGUUCUGUUUUCUAAUGUUAUCUCAAUUAUUGUUGCAUCUUACAGCUGGUGCUUGUGGUCUCUCAAUUUAGGGUUACCCACUUCAUCCGUCCUUUCCAAUGGGUGUUGCUAUGUUCCAUCCCUCUUCGGGAGGCUUAGCUCGUCGUAGUCGACUUAUGGGUUGAGCCUCUCCAGCAAGGCAUCGUGCCGAUGUUCCUCGCGGCGUCAUCAGCUCUUUUCCGUGCCUUCACUCUCUCCCUUUCCGAGCUUUGUUCGGUUAUCCUCCGUCACCGCAUAGUUACCAGAAACGUGGUACGAUCCAAGUCGCUAGACGGGUACGGAUACAAGAAACGAUGCUUGUAGUGUAUUCGAUACGGUGGGGGGUAGGCUUAGUUGGUACGAUUAAUUCGAUUCAAGAUACGAUUGAAAAUUACAUCCGAGUCGGUUAUAUAAAAUACAUACAAAAUUAUAAGGCUUUAAUUUUAAUUGGAAAGAAAAAGUUGUUCUUAGAUUAGUAAAUAGAUCCAA